rnacentral:rRNA from 1 species
GACGAACGCUGGCGGCGUGCCUAAUACAUGCAAGUCGAGCGAGACUCUUCGGAGUCUAGCGGCGGACGGGUGAGUAACACGUGGGCAACCUGCCUGUAAGAAUGGGAUGACCCCGGGAAACCGGUGCUAAUACCGGAUAAUCCUUUCCCUCUCAUGAGGAAAAGCUGAAAGUCGGGUUCGGCUGACACUUACAGAUGGGCACGGGGCGCAUUAGCUAGUUGGUGAGGUAACGGCUCACCAAGGCGACGAUGCGUAGCCGACCUGAGAGGGUGAUCGGCUACACUGGGACUGAGACACGUCCCAGACUCAUACGGGAGGCAGCAGUAGGGAAUCUUCCACAAUGGACGUAAGUCUGAUGGAGCAACGCCGCGUGAGCGAUGAAGGCCUUCGGGUCGUAAAGCUCUGUUGUUAGGGAAGAACAAGUACCGGAGUAACUGCCGGCACCUUGACGGUACCUAACCAGAAAGCCACGGCUAACUACGUGCCAGCCGCCGCCGUAAGAC